rnacentral:rRNA from 1 species
AUGAACGCUGGCGGCGUGCCUAAUACAUGCAAGUCGAGCGAACAGACGAGGAGCUUGCUCCUCUGACGUUAGCGGCGGACGGGUGAGUAACACGUGGAUAACCUACCUAUAAGACUGGGAUAACUUCGGGAAACCGGAGCUAAUACCGGAUAAUAUAUUUAACCGCAUGGUUCAAUAGUGAAAGACGGUUUUGCUGUUACUUAUAGAUGGAUCCGCGCCGCAUUAGCUUGUUGGUAAGGUAACGGCUUACCAAGGCAACGAUGCGUAGCCGACCUGAGAGGGUGAUCGGCCACACUGGAACUGAGACACGGUCCAGACUCCUACGGGAGGCAGCAGUAGGGAAUCUUCCGCAAUGGGCGAAAGCCUGACGGAGCAACGCCGCGUGAGUGAUGAAGGUCUUCGGAUCGUAAAACUCUGUUAUUAGGGAAGAACAAAUGUGUAAGUAACUAUGCACGUCUUGACGGUACCUAAUCAGAAAGCCACGGCUAACUACGUG